GACGAACCGUACGAACGUUAUUCGGAAUUACUGGGCGUAAAGCGCACGUAGGCGGAUCUUUAAGUCAGGGGUGAAAUCCUGGAGCUCAACUCCAGAACUGCCUUUGAUACUGAGGGUCUUGAGUUCGGGAGAGGUGAGUGGAACUGCGAGUGUAGAGGUGAAAUUCGUAGAUAUUCGCAAGAACACCAGUGGCGAAGGCGGCUCACUGGCUCGGUACUGACGCUGAGGUGCGAAAGCGUGGGGAGCAAACAGG
rnacentral:rRNA from 1 species